GAACACGCAUGGCAUGCCGCCUUACUCCCCUCGUGUGCAUCCUAGACCGAAGAAAAAAUAAGAGAGCACAAGAGCCUUGCAACGCGACAGUGAACAGCUGCGCUGCCGCCACGCCACUGGCUCCCUUAGCAUCGGUUUUCUGUCUGCUUCGCGUGUCUGUUCCUGCGCAUCUUCUUACCCACGUGCUACGCAACGCCUUCAUAGAUAAUAGUCUCCCCACCUGGUGUGGUGUCUGUCCGUUUCUCGACCGACUCCGCCUGUUCCUCCUUUCGCCUCUCUGUCGCUGUACCUUAGAGCACGCCGUGACGAGAUAAUGUCGCAGGAAGAAGCAGAGUCCCGGUUCGACUUCAACGAAGGCACCGGUGUAACAUUGGGCUCCUUGCCCUGCUUCACUACCGUGCCCACUCGCGGAGCUGCUGGCAAGGCGCUGGAGGCGGCAUUGGAGCCACUUCACCGCAUCGCCUACGGCCGUGCCGGCAACAAUGGCAAGCGCCGCGCUGCCCUCGCCAGCUUCAAGGGAUUCCCGGCCUCGAUGGAGGCGGAGGUAGCGGAGAAGAUUGCGAAGCUGACGAAGGACCGUCUUCGCGAUGUUAUCAAGGCCCUCGGUAUCAACGUGCACAUCUCGCUCUCGCAUGCCGAGGUGGCGGCCGGGGUCACGAAGUUCUUGAUGGCCCCGCGCGACGAUGGCAGGUUCAAGGUCAGCAGCCCGGCGGCAGCCAAGUCCAAGAAGGUAUCACCGGUGAAGCGGCCAGCGCCUGCCGGUCCGGAUGACGAGUCAGAGGUAAAGAAGUCGCGUCCAGAGCCGCCAGCACUUUCGUCCGCAGCGGCGGCGCCUGCGGCCUCCUCUGCGUCUGCCGCCUCCGCCGGCCCGUCGGAUGACGCGGUGCUCGUCGAGGUCUACCGCCGCGUUCUCGCCAUGACCCCUGAAGACCGCGCCGUUCUCGGGGUCAAGGCGCUCCGCACCAGCCUAGAGGAGCACUUCAAGCUGACUGCCGGCGGUCUGCGCCACAAGAAGGGGAUCAUCACCACCGCGGCCUCUGAGUGCGUGCGGGCACUCAAGGAGGCAGAGAUGCGGGCGGCGGCGGCAGCCGUGCAGGGCGUCAGUGACGCGCUUUCCACCUCCUCUCCCACGAGUGCAGAGCAAACGGCGGCCCCUGCGCCUUCUGGGCCCGAGGUGCUCGAUAGCACCGCACCGGCCCCCGUUGCGUCGCCGACACCCUGACCCACGAGGCGACUAGAGUGCCGACACAGGUGCCCGCUGCGGCCGCUCCCUCAGCAGUUGGCGGUGGUGGCACCAGUGGGGUGAUCGCCCCACGGGGUCGGCUCUCUCUAAGCGACAGAUGUGCGCAGCGAGUGUGCGGGCACCUUUGUUUGUGUGUGCAUGUGCUGGACGGUGAGGCGGCCCGGAGGGCAGCGCGGCGAUGCGUUCCGUGCGCUCCACGUUGCUCCCCCCAUCUUCCUCCCCUGUGCGCGCCCACCCAUGGCAGAGAUGACCUU
rnacentral:misc_RNA from 1 species